GCAUUCAGUUCCUGAUUCACAAAAAUAAAAGCCAUUUAUUUAAACCCACAGUGUAGGAGCAGUUUGUGGGAGCAUGUUGAUAUUCUCCCAGAACUCACCUGAGACCCCCUGAAUUCCCCUACACCCACUUACUGUGGAACUGAAACAGAUCAGACCUUCUUGUUGAGCAGAUCCUGGACAUGGUUCUCGUCCAACGGACAAUAACAAGGCAGUGAAGAGCAGCAGGAAUUGUUUCCGACACUAAAUCAAUCUGCACCAAAUAAACAUCGGACUGCCACACCACUUUUCAUCCUGCAACCUCAGUUUGAGGAUUAACAUGUCUGAUUUAUUACAGUCUAAUAAUAAAGACAUUAAAACUUUA